rnacentral:rRNA from 1 species
CCUACGGGGUGCACCAGUGGGGAAUAUUGGACAAUGGGCGAAAGCCUGAUCCAGCAAUGCCGCGUGUGUGAAGAAGGACUUCGGAUUGUAAAGCACUUUCGACGGGGACGAGGAUGACGGUACCCGUAGAAGAAGCCCCGGCUAACUUCGUGCCAGCAGCCGCGGUAAUACGGAGGGGGCUAGCGUUGCUCGGAAUGACUGGGCGUAAAGGGCGCGUAGGCGAUUUAUGCAGUCAGAUGUGAAAUCCCCGGGCUUAACCUGGGAACAGCAUUUGAGACGCAUAGACUAGAGGUCGAGAGAGGGUUGUGGAAUUCCCAGUGUAGAGGUGAAAUUCGUAGAUAUUGGGAAGAACACCGGUGGCGAAGGCGGCUACCUGGCUCGAUACUGACGCUGAGGCGCGAAAGCGUGGGGAGCAAACAGGAUUAGAUACCCGAGUAG